rnacentral:rRNA from 1 species
CCUACGGGUGGCAGCAGUGAGGAAUAUUGGUCAAUGGGCGCAAGCCUGAACCAGCCAAGUAGCGUGAAGGAUGACUGCCCUACGGGUUGUAAACUUCUUUUAUAAAGGAGUAAAGUGAGGCACGUGUGCCUUUUUGUAUGUACUUUAUGAGUAAGGAUCGGCUAACUCCAGGCCAGCAGCCGCGGUAAUACGGGGGAUCCGAGCGUUAUCCGGAUUUAUUGGGUUUAAAGGGAGCGCAGAUGGGCUGUUAAGUCAGUUGUGAAGGCUCCGGGCUCAACCGUAAAAUUGCAAUUGAUACUGGCAGCCGUGAGUACAGUUGAGGUAGGCGGAAUUCGUGGUGUAGCGGUGAAAUGCGUAGAUAUCACGAAGAACUCCGAUUGCGAAGGCAGCUUACUAAACUGCCACUGACAUUGAUGCUCGAAAGUGUGGGUAUCAAACAGGAUUAGAUACCCGGGUAGUC